rnacentral:misc_RNA from 1 species
GAUGAAGAACGUAGCAAAAUGCGAUAAGUAAUGUGAAUUGCAGAAUUCAGUGAAUCAUCGAAUCUUUGAACGCACAUUGCGCCCGCCAGUAUUCUGGCGGGCAUGUCUGUUCGAGCGUCAUUUCAACCCUCAAGCACAGCUUGGUGUUGGGACUCGCGUUAAUUCGCGUUCCCCAAAUUGAUUGGCGGUCACGUCGAGCUUCCAUAGCGUAGUAGUAAAACCCUCGUUACUGGUAAUCGCCGCGGCCACGCCGUUAAACCCCAACUUCUGAAUGUUGACCUCGGAUCAGGUAGGAAUACCCGCUGAACUUAAGCAUAUCAAUAAGCGGAGGA